rnacentral:rRNA from 1 species
AGUGAACGCUGGCGGUAGGCCUAACACAUGCAAGUCGAACGGCAGCACAGUAAGAGUUUGCUCUUACGGGUGGCGAGUGGCGGACGGGUGAGGAAUACAUCGGAAUCUACUUUUUCGUGGGGGAUAACGUAGGGAAACUUACGCUAAUACCGCAUACGACCUACGGGUGAAAGCAGGGGAUCUUCGGACCUUGCGCGAUUGAAUGAGCAGAUGUCGGAUUAGCUAGUUGGCGGGGUAAAGGCCCACCAAGGCGACGAUCCGUAGCUGGUCUGAGAGGAUGAUCAGCCACACUGGAACUGAGACACGGUCCAGACUCCUACGGGAGGCAGCAGUGGGGAAUAUUGGACAAUGGGCGCAAGCCUGAUCCAGCCAUACCGCGUGGGUGAAGAAGGCCUUCGGGUUGUAAAGCCCUUUUGUUGGGAAAGAAAAGCAGCAGGUUAAUACCCCGCUGUUCUGACGGUACCCAAAGAAUAAGCACCGGCUAACUUCGUG